rnacentral:rRNA from 1 species
CCCAGUAGCUGUACCACCUGCUGUUCAGACUAGGUAAUCAAUCUGAAGCUAAGCCAGUUUGGGCCUGCCCAGUGCUUGGACAGGAGACCAGUUAGGAAAGUUGGGUUGCUGCUGGAA